rnacentral:rRNA from 1 species
AAAGUAAAGGCAUCUUUACUUUUUUAAAAGACCUUCUUUGAAGGUAUGCUUAAGGAGGGGCUUGCGACACAUUAGUUAGUUGGCAGGGUAAAGGCCUACCAAGACUAUGAUGUGUAGCUGGACUGAGAGGUUGAACAGCCACAUUGGGACUGAGACACGGCCCAAACUCCUACGGGAGGCAGCAGUAGGGAAUUUUCGGCAAUGGAGGAAACUCUGACCGAGCAACGCCGCGUGAACGAUGAAGUACCUCGGUAUGUAAAGUUCUUUUAUUAAGGAAGAAAAAAGAGUGGAAAAACUCCCUUGACGGUACUUAAUGAAUAAGCCCCGGCUAAUUAUGUGCCAGCAGCCGCGGUAAUACAUAAGGGGCGAGCGUUAUCCGGAAUUAUUGGGCGUAAAGGGUGCGUAGGCGGUUUAAUAAGUUUAUAGUUUAAUUUCAGCGCUUAACGCUGUUGUGCUAUAGAAACUGUUUUACUAGAGUGAGUUAGAGGCAAGCGGAAUUCCAUGUGUAGCGGUAAAAUGCGUAAAUAUAUGGAGGAACACCAGAGGCGUAGGCGGCUUGCUGGGACUUUACUGACGCUGAGGCACGAAAGCGUGGGGAGCAAACAGGAUUAGAUACCCUGGUAGUCCACGCCGUAAACGAUGAGUACUAAGUGUCGGGUAAAACCGGUACUGAAGUUAACACAUUAAGUACUCCGCCUGAGUAGUACGUACGCAAGUAUGAAACUUAAAGGAAUUGACGGGACUCCGCACAAGCGGUGGAUCAUGUUGUUUAAUUCGAAGAUACACGAAAAACCUUACCAGGUCUUGACAUUUUCUUGCGAAGUUAUAGAAAUAUAAUGGAGGUUAUCAGGAAAACAGGUGGUGCAUGGUUGUCGUCAGCUCGUGUCGUGAGAUGUUAGGUUAAGUCCUAAAACGAGCGCAACCCUUGUCGUUAAUUGCCAGCAUGUAAUGAUGGGGACUUUAACGAGACUGCCAAUGAAAAAUUGGAGGAAGGUGGGGAUUACGUCAAAUCAUCAUGCCCCUUAUGAUCUGGGCUACAAACGUGAUACAAUGGUUGAUACAAAGAGUAGCUGAAACGCGAGUUCUUAGCCAAUCUCACAAAAUCAAUCUCAGUUCGGAUUGAAGUCUGCAACUCGACUUCAUGAAGUUGGAAUCGCUAGUAAUCGCGAAUCAGCAUGUCGCGGUGAAUACGUUCUCGGGGUUUGUACACACCGCCCGUCAAACCACGAAAGUUGGCAAUACCCCAAAGCGGUCACCUAACUUCGCAAGAAGAAGGAUCCGUCUAAGGUAGGGUCGAUGAUUGGGGUUAAGUCG